rnacentral:lncRNA from 1 species
UGUGUGUCCAGAUACAGAUCCCAAAGUGUUGUCUCUAAAUCAGUACUGGCUUUGCUUUUCCACCAGAAUGCAAAUUAUGUUAUUUGCUGCCAUUGUGUGUCAAUUAAAGAUAAAAUGUGAAUUCCUACUGCAAUAUGCUCCUACUGGCAUAGCAUCGUGAUUUUCCUAAAAUUCACGGACCAGUUCCCAAAGAUGUUGGCUGCUUGGAUGCAAGAGAUGGAAUCUCGCUCUGUCGCCCAGGCUGGAGUGCAGUGGCAUGAUCUCGGCUCGCUGCAACCUCCGCCUCCUGGGUUCAAGCAAUUCUACUGUCUCAUCAUCCUGAGUAGCUGGGACUACAGGCUCAUGUUGCCAUACCUGGCUAACUGCUGUAUUUUUAGUAGAGACGGGGUGUCAUCAUAUUGGUCAGGCUUGUCUCCAACUCCUGACCUCAGGUGAUCCACCCACUUCAGCCUCCCAAAGUGCUGGGAUUACAGGUGUGAGCCACUGUGCCUGUCCUCAAGUCAGUGUAUUUAGAAUAUGCAUCACCUCAAGUAUAUAUCAUUUCUCUGUGAAUGCAUUAUCUUUAAACUGGAAGUUUGUGAAUAAAUCAUUCUAAUGACUUUUACUGAAUCCUUGGUUAUAGUUUUGAAUUGAUUAACUACAUGUUUUCCUAUGUUGCUUUGUAAUAAUUUAAACUGAAAAAGCAAAAAAUAAAUUAUUUAAUGUGUCAGGCAUCAGACCAUGAAUUUUCACAUAUAUUGAAUUAUUUAAAAGCUUCCAGCACUAUGUAUUAUAUGUCCUGAUAUUCUGAUUUUGGAGAUGAGGAAACUAAAACAAAAAGAAGCUCUUAUGUAUUAGAGUGCUGGAAUUUUGGUUGCUGUUUU